UGCGAGUCGACACAGCAAUGUGUGGCAUACGGCUCAGUAACACGUAGUCAACAUGCCCAGGGGACGUGGAUAACCUCGGGAAACUGAGGAUAAACCGCGAUAGGUCACUACUUCUGGAAUGGGUAAUGACCCAAACCUAUAUGGCCCCUGGAUUGGACUGCGGCCGAUCAGGCUGUUGGUGAGGUAAUGGCCCACCAAACCUGUAACCGGUACGGGCUCUGAGAGGAGGAGCCCGGAGAUGGGCACUGAGACAAGGGCCCAGGCCCUAUGGGGCGCAGCAGGCGCGAAACCUCUGCAAUAGGCGAAAGCUUGACAGGGUUACUCUGAGUGAUUUCCGUUAAGGAGAUCUUUUGGCACCUCUAAAAAUGGUGCAGAAUAAGGGGUGGGCAAGUCUGGUGUCAGCCGCCGCGGUAAUACCAGCACCCCGAGUGGUCGGGACGUUUAUUGGGCCUAAAGCAUCCGUAGCCGGUUCUACAAGUCUUCCGUUAAAUCCACCUGCUCAACAGAUGGGCUGCGGAAGAUACUAUGGAGCUAGGAGGCGGGAGAGGCAAGCGGUACUCGAUGGGUAGGGGUAAAAUCCGUUGAUCCAUUGAAGACCACCAGUGGCGAAGGCGGCUUGCCAGGACGCGCUCGACGGUGAGGGAUGAAAGCUGGGGGAGCAAACCGGAUUAGAUACCCGGGUAGUCCCAGCUGUAAACGAUGCAGACUCGGUGAUGAGUUGGCUUUAUGCCAACUCAGUGCCGCAGGGAAGCCGUUAAGUUUGCCGCCUGGGGAGUACGGUCGCAAGACUGAAACUUAAAGGAAUUGGCGGGGGAG
rnacentral:rRNA from 1 species